rnacentral:rRNA from 1 species
AAGGCUAAAUACUCCUGACUGACCGAUAGUGAACCAGUACCGUGAGGGAAAGGCGAAAAGAACCCCGGCGAGGGGAGUGAAAAAGAACCUGAAACCGUGUACGUACAAGCAGUGGGAGCCCCACCACCAAAGCAUUCUCUGGUGUUGAAGGCCCUGCAAAGCAGCAUCGCGGUGGCGGAGCGUCGUUUGCGACGCCCAACACACAAAACAAGCGGUGAGUGCUUUGGGGUGGGGUGACUGCGUACCUUUUGUAUAAUGGGUCAGCGACUUAUAUUCUGUAGCAAGGUUAACCGUAUAGGGGAGCCGGAGGGAAACCGAGUCUUAACCGGGCGUUAAGUUGCAGGGUAUAGACCCGAAACCCGGUGAUCUAGCCAUGGGCAGGUUGAAGGUUGGGUAACACUAACUGGAGGACCGAACCGACUAAUGUUGAAAAAUUAGCGGAUGACCUGUGGCUGGGGGUGAAAGGCCAAUCAAACCGGGAGAUAGCUGGUUCUCCCCGAAAGCUAUUUAGGUAGCGCCUCGUGAACUCAUCUUCGGGGGUAGAGCACUGUUUCGGCUAGGGGGUCAUCCCGACUUACCAACCCGAUGCAAACUGCGAAUACCGAAGAAUGUUAUCACGGGAGACACACGGCGGGUGCUAACGUCCGUCGUGAAGAGGGAAACAACCCAGACCGCCAGCUAAGGUCCCAAAGUCACAGUUAAGUGGGAAACGAUGUGGGAAGGCUCAGACAGCCAGGAUGUUGGCUUAGAAGCAGCCAUCAUUUAAAGAAAGCGUAAUAGCUCACUGGUCGAGUCGGCCUGCGCGGAAGAUGUAACGGGGCUAAACUGUGCACCGAAGCUGCGGCAGCGACGCUUAUGCGUUGUUGGGUAGGGGAGCGUUCUGUAAGCCUGCGAAGGUGUCCUGUGAGGGAUGCUGGAGGUAUCAGAAGUGCGAAUGCUGACAUAAGUAACGAUAAUGCGGGUGAAAAGCCCGCUCGCCGGAAGACCAAGGGUUCCUGUCCAACGUUAAUCGGGGCAGGGUGAGUCGACCCCUAAGGCGAGGCCGAAAGGCGUAGUCGAUGGGAAACGGGUUAAUAUUCCCGUA